rnacentral:rRNA from 1 species
UGCGUAGGCGGGCUAGUAAGUCAGUGGUGAAAUCCUGCAGCUUAACUGUAGAACUGCCAUUGAUACUGUUAGUCUUGAAUACAGUUGAGGUAAGCGGAAUGUGUAAUGUAGCGGUGAAAUGCUUAGAUAUUACACAGAACACCGAUUGCGUAGGCAGCUUGCUAAACUGUGAUUGACGCUGAGGCACGAAAGCGUGGGGAGCGAACAGGAUUAGAUACCCUGGUAGUCC